CCUCCCAAUAUUCUAAUCGGAGAUUAAGGGGCGGAGCUGAUAAUGGGGAAGACGAAUCUAUUGGGCGUAGCUGGACUGUCAAUCACAGAGCAAAAAGAGGAGCAUUGUAUUUCAAUGCUGUCUCAUCAACCAGUUUGUAUAUACUGGAACCUUGUCGUGGAAGAUGCGUCUGUUGCUGGCUCUGUUCAUCAUGUUGCAUCGUGUGAAGUCGCAGACUAUCCGACAGACUCCCGCUGCCGUCUCCCAGUUUGCGGAGCAGGGAGUGAAACUGCAGUGUCAUGUGGAAGGAGCAAGUACCCCCACAAUGUUCUGGUACAGACAAGCCCCAGGGAAGGGGUUGCAGCUGAUGUUUUACUCUUUGACCACCAGAGUAGUAGAUCCACAGGGGUCGGUGGACGGGUUCACCGCCAGGCGACCAAGUGAUCUUGAGUUCAUUCUGGAAACCACCAGUCUAUGGGCGAAUCAGUCGGCCGUGUAUUACUGCGCCUGGAGUAUUUCCAGUGACUGA